GCUUUUAAUUAAGCUGACUUUUAACCAUUAAGCUCCCUUAAAAAAAAUUCUUUUAAAUCUCAUUACCAUAUUUUAGCUAGGACACAUUGCUGAUAUUUCAAAAGUAACACGAAUACCAAACCAGAAAGGGCUUGAUUUAGGAACCAAACCCAGGCUGAUGUGAUGAAAAAAAAGGGCAUAACCUUAGUUACCAAACUGCAGCAUGAGGUGACAGCCAUUGCUCUUUUAGUUUGGCUUGGCUAGUGAAAAAAAAAAAAAAAAAAGUGGCCUUGUUAUAUAACUAAAGCCCUUUAGGUAAUCUAAACAAAAAAUCUUUCCCUUUUUUUCCUUUUGCUGCCUGUUUUUUUCUUUUUCUCUUUUUUUCUUUUUCAGUUGUGGGAAUUUAGCCAAUUCAGAGGCCUUGUUCCCCACAAUUUGGACUUUCCUUUGGAUUUCCUCAAGGCCGAUAGAGUUGGUCAAACCCAAUGGGAAAAAAUAAAAUAAAAUAAAAAUAAAAACAAACAAGCAACAAGAACAAAACCAGCUAAGCAAAUCAAACAGUUGCACAAUUUAUAUGAUUACUGAGUACUCUAAUGGUAAGGAGAAAUUAAGACCAGCUGGUUGUGAAUCUUAACUUUAGCUAAGACAGAACCCUGAUUCAGCUACUUACCUAAGAAUGGGUCUCAGGCUGAAGACUGCUCUCUACCAUCCUAGAAGCAGGAAAAAUCUCAAAUUGUUUUGAAGUCAGCUCAGACUCCACAAAAGAGUUACCUGCCUUCCAUUGUCAUGGAAGUAGGAAAACUUGCCCUCCUUGUUGGAAGCAAGUGAAACUCCAGAAGAGGGGUUGUACAGCCAAGUAAACUUUAGAUCUUGACCAAAUUUGGGGAGAUCAGGGAUUCUCUAAACGGGAGGUUCCCAGGCCUCAGCCAAGUAUCUUAUUGGUUUGAGUCAUAAAGAUAGCUCAAGCUGAUACCAAGCACCAAUAAGAAAUUUGUCAAAGGUCAGGGGAACCUCCACUCAGAAUCCCUUUGUGGUUGUCAAUUGUGAACCCAAAAUAUCUGAGACAGGUCUCAGUCAACUUAGAAAGUUUAUUUGGCCGGGACUCUAUAGUGGCGAUUGGUUGUUUCAUUAUGGAUGGAGGGGAUGAUGGUAACCUUAUUAUCAAAAAGAGGUUCGUGUCUGAGGCAGAACGAGAUGAACGACACAAAAGGAGGCAAGAAGAAUGGGAGAAAGUUCGAAAACCUGAAGAUCCGGAAGAAUGUCCAGAGGAGGUUUGUGACUCUUGAUCUCUAUAUGAAAGGCUACAGGAACAGGAGGACAGGAAGCAGCAGGAGUAUGAGGAACAGUUCAAAUUAAAAAACAUGGUAAGAGGCUUAGAUGAAGAUGAGACCAACUUCCUUGAUGGGGUUCCUCGAUAGCAGCAACUAAUAGAAAAGCAACAAAGAGAAGAAGAACAGAAAGAACUGAGGAAAUACAGAAAUAACCUCAAGAAGGUUGGAAUUUCUCAAGAGAACAAGAAGGAAGUGGAAAAGAAACUGACUGUGAAGCCCAUAGAAACCAAGAACAAGUUCUCCCAGGCGAAGCUUUUGGCAGGAGCUGUGAAGCAUAAGAGCUCAGAGAGUGGCAACAGUGUGAAAAGAUUGAAACCGGACCCUGAGCCAGAUGACGAGAAUCAGGAGUCCUCAUCCUGCAAGUCUCUUGGAAACACUUUCCUGAGUGGCCCCUCCAUCCACUGCCCCUCUGCUGCAGUCUGUAUCGGCAUCCUCCCAGGCCUGGGUGCUUACUCUGGGAGCAGUGACUCUGAGUCCAGCUCAGACAGCGAAGGCACCAUCAAUGCCACCGGAACGAUUGUCUCCUCCGUCUUCUGAACCAACACCUUCUUCGAGGCCCCCUAGUUUCUCUGUCCUUACACAGGGAGCUCCUCCCCAAGGGUAGAUCAGACCGUUCAUGCUGCCUACAGAAAAAAAAAACCUCCUUUUCCUGCAUCCUGUGCACAACAUGACAUUUUUAACCAAUCCAAAAAUUUGCCAGAAUCCACCUGUGGCCCAAAUCAUGUUUGGUUUCUCUUUCUACUCCAGUGUAGAUGACUAAACCUGUCCUGCUGCCACUUUCCUCAAUGAUACUGGGAGGAGGGCAAGGCCCUGCCAAAGUUCCACUAAAAGUGCCCUAGGAGAAUAGGCACUGGCCGACUUGCCAAAGGGUUUGGGAUUUAUUGCUUUCUGGUUUUUUCUUUUCCCCAACAGCACAAAAAAGUAAGGGCAGUUAUUGGACAGGUGUUAUUUAAACAUUCUAUUGUAGAUAAAUGUGUUGUUUGGUUCUACUGCAUUGUGGAGCAUGCGGGGGAAGAGAACUGACCCAGGUGAUGAAAUGGAGCCCUUCCCUGGAACUAACCAGUCCUUGAUGUUGUGUGACUAAGUAAAGAUGAUAAACCUCAUCUGCCAGGGGUGUCACUUCACACUCGGCAUGCAUUGUGAAAGCUUCCCGUACCCUUGGUCAUUCCCUCUCCCCUCUCUAUCCAACCCCAUUUAUGCAGGAAGGGAGUGCUAACAAGAAUGCUUCCAUCUCAAACCUUUUCUCUGCCUGGGAAAUCAUUUUAUGUUGGUUUUUGAAAUAAAGGAUUUAGUUUAAGAUUCUAAAGUUUA